rnacentral:rRNA from 1 species
ACACCACGGAUUCGCCUUAGUAGCGGCGAGUGGAGCGGCAGAGCUCAUAUUUGAAAUCUGGUACUUUCAGUAUCCGAGUUGUAAUUUGAAGAAAGUUAUCUUGGAGUUGGCCCUUGUCUAUGUUCCUUGGAACAGGACGUCACAGAGGGUGAGAAUCCCGUGCGAUGGGGUGCCCAUUCUAUGUAAGAUACUUUCGACGAGUCGAGUUGUUUGGGAGUGCAGCUCUAAGUGGGUGGUAAAUUCCAUCUAAAGCUAAAUAUUGGCGAGAGACCGAUAGCGAACAAGUACAGUGAUGGAAAGAUGAAAAGAACUUUGAAAAGAGAGUGAAAAAGUACGUGAAAUUGUUGAAAGGGAAGGGUAUUUGAUCAGACUGAUAUUCAGUUAACACUGUUCCUUGUGGAUGGUGCUCUAGCUUUUUAUUGGGCCAGCAUCAGUUUAGGUGGCAGGAUAAGAACUGUUGAACGUGGCUCUUCGGAGUGUUAUAGCUUCAGUUGAUACUGCCUAUCUAGACUGAGGUCUGCGGCUUUGCCUAGGAUGCUGGCGUAAUGGUCUAAUACCGCCCGUCUUGAAAACACGGACCCA